rnacentral:rRNA from 1 species
AUUGAACGCUGGCGGCAGGCCUAACACAUGCAAGUCGGACGGUAGCACAGAGGAGCUUGCUCCUCGGGUGACGAGUGGCGGACGGGUGAGUAAUGUCUGGGGAUCUGCCCGAUAGAGGGGGAUAACCACUGGAAACGGUGGCUAAUACCGCAUAACGUCGCAAGACCAAAGAGGGGGACCUUCGGGCCUCUCACUAUCGGAUGAACCCAGAUGGGAUUAGCUAGUAGGCGGGGUAAUGGCCCACCUAGGCGACGCUCCCUAGCUGGUCUGAGAGGAUGACCAGCCACACUGGAACUGGGGCACGGUCCAGACUCCUACGGGAGGCAGAAGUGGGGAAUAUUGGACAAUGGGCGCAAGCCUGGUGCAGCCAUGCCGCGUGUAUGAAGAAGGCCUUCGGGUUGUAAAGUACUUUCAGCGGGGAGGAAGGCGAUGUGGUUAAUAACCUUGUCGAUUGACGUUACCCGCAGAAGAAGCACCGGCUAACUCCGUGCCAGCCUCCGCCGUAA